rnacentral:rRNA from 1 species
UGGGGAAUAUUGCACAAUGGGGGAAACCCUGAUGCAGCGACGCCGCGUGAGCGAAGAAGUAUCUCGGUAUGUAAAGCUCUAUCAGCAGGGAAGAAGAUGACGGUACCUGACUAAGAAGCACCGGCUAAAUACGUGCCAGCAGCCGCGGUAAUACGUAUGGUGCAAGCGUUAUCCGGAUUUACUGGGUGUAAAGGGAGCGUAGACGGAGAAGCAAGUCUGGAGUGAAAGCCCGGGGCUCAACCCCGGGACUGCUUUGGAAACUGUUUAUCUGGAGUGCCGGAGAGGUAAGCGGAAUUCCUAGUGUAGCGGUGAAAUGCGUAGAUAUUAGGAGGAACACCAGUGGCGAAGGCGGCUUACUGGACGGUAACUGACGUUGAGGCUCGAAAGCGUGGGGAGCAAACA